AGUUCUUACAAAGUCAUACAAAGAACAUAGUCAGGCUAUCAGAUGGAGUGUCUUCGAGCUGACUAUGGACAAAGAGAAACUACAUCUACCCCAAGACUGGUCAUUAUGAUUGGAAGAAUUAUCAAUGAGGUAAUGCAGUUACAGGGUGGCCUCUGCUCCUGUUGUAUACUUGCCGCAGCUGAAAAAGCAAGGAUGGCGAUAAGGUAGGAGGUGGGGAAGCAUAUUGAAGAUGAAAGACCACCGACUGUAGAAUGGGCAUGAGAGCGAGAAGGACUAUUGCUCAUCAUAAUAAAACCCUUGCAGAGCCGAGGACAGGGCUAGAAAAUGACAGAGGCCACUAAGUGCACUUUGUGAUGCUGA